rnacentral:rRNA from 1 species
GAAUAUUUGACAAUGGGCGAAAGCCUGAUCCAGCAAUGCCGCGUGAGUGAUGAAGGCCCUAGGGUUGUAAAGCUCUUUUACCAGGGAUGAUAAUGACAGUACCUGGAGAAUAAGCUCCGGCUAACUCCGUGCCAGCAGCCGCGGUAAUACGGAGGGAGCUAGCGUUGUUCGGAAUUACUGGGCGUAAAGCGCGCGUAGGCGGCCUGUCAAGUCAGGGGUGAAAGCCCGGGGCUCAACCCCGGAAUUGCCUUUGAAACUGGCAGGCUAGAAUCUUGGAGAGGUCAGUGGAAUUCCGAGUGUAGAGGUGAAAUUCGUAGAUAUUCGGAAGAACACCAGUGGCGAAGGCGACUGACUGGACAAGUAUUGACGCUGAGGUGCGAAAGCGUGGGGAGCAAACA